GUCAGUGCCUGGCAGCCCAGAAAAUCUGGAAUUCUCAGCAGCCAGGGCUCCAACAUCUCGUGACCUCCGGCCCAUCCGAGCGCUUCCGACAGCCCAGGGACACUGAUGGAUCUGGAGCUUUGACACACAAGAAAACCCGACGUGUUCUGCUUACAACAUCCCGUGAAGCCGUAAUUAAGGCCUUUAUGGCAACAAAGAAAAUUGGAUUACGUUAUUCCAGGGCUACACAGCCCGAAGAUUGCAGGGAAGCCAGGAGGAUGGAGCGUAAUGAGCCACAGGCGGCUCCGACAGCAGACAAAGACGGGCGAUUGUGGGAGAAUUUGAAGUGGUUUUGUGCCUUUUGAAAUUACAGAGGACAAGCCCAGGAGUGGCAGCUGAGGAAAUCACACCUUCAUUUUCCCCUGGGCUCUUCAGACUCCAUUUUUCUCAAACCAGCAGAGCAAGAGUUAUAUUUUAAGCUACAUGUUCUAAAAAACCCCACAUUUUAUUCAUUGCCGUGUGUUCCUUGGCAUCACACCCUGCACCCAGCUGUGCCCACGGAAAAAACCUGGAGAUGGGAGGCUUUGCUACGUGCCCUCACCAUGGUUUGGCUAUUCAGAUACUUAAAUAAAACUGUAUUCUCUAUAAGCCAGAAAAUAAAAAUCACCUCACUCCUCA